rnacentral:misc_RNA from 1 species
AAGUCGUAACAAGGUUUCCGUAGGUGAACCUGCGGAAGGAUCAUUAUUGAAUGAACUUAGAGUCGGUUGUCGCUGGCUGUUCUUUGCAGCAUGUGCACGCCUUCUCUUUUCAUCCACACACACCCCUGUGCACUUGUGAGACUGGAGACCGUAAAAAGUCUUCAGUCUGCUAAAUUCAUAUACAAACUCAUUUAAUUGAACUGAAUGUACUUGAUGUAACGCAUCAUUAAACUAAGUUUCAACAACGGAUCUCUUGGCUCUC